rnacentral:rRNA from 1 species
GACGAACGCUGGCGGCGUGCCUAAUACAUGCAAGUCGAGCGGAACUGGGGGAGCUUGCUCCUUCCAGUUUAGCGGCGGACGGGUGAGUAACACGUGGGCAACCUGCCCUGCAGAUCGGGAUAACUCCGGGAAACCGGUGCUAAUACCGAAUAGUUUGGCGCCUCUCCUGAGGCGCUACGGAAAGACGGUUUCGGCUGUCACUGCAGGAUGGGCCCGCGGCGCAUGAGCUGGUUGUUGGGGUAACGGCCCACCAAGGCGACGAGGCGUAGCCGGCCUGAGAGGGUGACCGGCCACACUGGGACUGAGACACGGCCCAGACCCCUACGGGAGGCAGCAGUAGGGUAUCUUCCGCAAUGGACGCAAGUCUGACGGAGCAACGCCGCGUGAGUGACGAAGGUUUUCGGAUCGUAAAACUCUGUUGUGAGGGAAGAACACGUACCAACUAACUAUUGGUACCUUGACGGUACCUCGCCAGAAAGCCACGGCUAACUACGUGCCAGCCGCCGCCGUAA